rnacentral:lncRNA from 1 species
UUCAGUUGUGUCCCUCCCGUUAACGGAGAUGCCACAUAGACUAACACUGUUAAUACAUGGAUAAUUUUUGCUCACGUGGCAACAUAGAGAGACAAGAAUUUGCAAAUCUAGUCUAGAAGAAUUUUUCUAUUUUACUGAAAUUUUAUAAAUCCCGUUCAGAACUAUAAAUCUCCUAUUUUCCACUAAUUUUUUUUUAAAUUCUUAUAACAAAUCGAAUUGGGGAUUUCAGGAAUGAUCUAGAAUACCACCGUUAGGGAGCGAGAUCGCCGGUCUCUUCGGCCUCACGGUCCGUACCAGUGCAGCAGCUAUCAAUUUCGUGGAUCGUCAGUGGAUCGCCGGUCUCUUUGCCCAUUUUGUAUGUAUACACACACAACUCCUUUUUCAGAUAUGAUGUAUUUGUUCGUGAGGCAUACAAAAGAAUCUUUUCAGAUCUGAUGUAUUUGAUGAUCCUUUAACCCGACAAUAAAAACCCAUUCCACAAACUCAUCUCUGUUCUCAUCAACCAAACAGAAGAUACCAGAACACUAGAGUAAUUUUACUUUGAUACUAAUAAAUUCGUUACUCUGUUUUUGACGUUCAGGUAUGGGAUUGAAAUGGAGUCUCCAAGUGUUUUGAUGACAUAUAUCCUUUAUUUAUAGUGUGGUUAAUGUCAUAAUACGAACGUAGGUGUUGUUGCGGCACUUGGAAUUACAAAAAGGAAUGCAAAAGGAAGUAGGAGGGUAGGUAAUUAGUUCAUUGCUAAGAUGCUGAGAUCGGAGAAAGAGAGGCGUUGGGGGAUUUUGAGGAUGAAUUUAUUCAGAACAUUCAAUCUAUUUUGUUUUUUUUUUAUUUUUAAUUUUAGAGUUUUCUUUUUAGUUUGAUUAAAUGAUAUAUUUUGUUUUAUUAGAAAAUAUUCUAUAUUUAAGCCUUUAAUUAAUUUAUGUAUUUAGUAUUUUUUGUAUUUUAAUUUUUAAUAUUAAUUAUUCUAAAAUUAAAUAAUUAAUUUAUAGUAGUGUUAUUAUAAUUGUUUACUUUGUUUUAAUUAAGAGUUAAGUUUCUCUUUUCAGCCUAGUCAGCAAAUUUAGAUGAAGUGUCAGCUCCGUUUGUCAAUGUGGCAGAUUCGUUAACGGGAGGGGCACGGGUGACCUGAUUUUGGUAACGUUAAGGGUAUUUUUAGAAGAAAAAAAAUUAGUUUAAGGUGCAAGUGGGACAUCGGUGUAAAUAUCAAGGGUAUUUUUGGACCUUUGCCCAACAAGAAUUACAUUUUCAACAACAUAAGUUGUUAAUAAACAAAUAAUAUCAUAACUUUUUAAUGGAGUUUCAGCUGCAAACGCACUUUCAACUGCGUUUACAAAACGUUGUUAUCGUUGCAACAGUUAUUGUAUGUUACUAUGUAAACG